GGGGAUAUAGCUCACCUGGUAGAGCGACAGGUUCGCAAUCUGUAGGUAGCCGGUUCGAGUCCGGUUAUCUCCA
rnacentral:tRNA from 1 species